rnacentral:lncRNA from 1 species
UAGAUUGGAUCAAAAUCAAAUUUUUAUUAUGUGUGACCCAUUGGGUUCCAAAUCUAGCCAGCAAUGGAUCCAGACUCUCGACGUAAUCCUAAUCGAUUGGAUUAGGUCAGGUCAAUAGUCCCAAUCAACUAGGACUCUUCCUAAUUGAUUCUUGAAUUAAACUCUUUUAAUUCUGAUAAGUUCAUAAGUCAAGAUUGAUAUCUAGUAAUGUCUCAUGACUAUCC